UAGGGAAUAUUGGUAAUGGGCGAAAGCCUGAACCAGCAACGCCGCGUGUGCGAUGAAGGCCUUCGGGUCGUAAAGCACUUUUUGGAGGGAUGAGGAAGGACAGUACCUCCAGAAUAAGCCUCGGCUAACUACGUGCCAGCAGCCGCGGUAACACGUAGGAGGCAAGCGUUAUUCGGAUUUACUGGGCGUAAAGCGCGUGCAGGCGGUUCGGAAAGUUGGAUGUGAAAGCUCCUGGCUUAACUGGGAGAGGUCGUUCAAUACUUCCGGACUUGAGAGUGGGAGAGGGAGGUGGAAUUCCGGGUGUAGUGGUGAAAUGCGUAGAUAUCCGGAGGAACACCAGUGGCGAAAGCGGCCUCCUGGCCCAUUUCUGACGCUCAGACGCGAAAGCUAGGGUAGCAAACG
rnacentral:rRNA from 1 species